GACGAACGCUGGCGGCGUGCCUAAUACAUGCAAGUAGAACGCACAGUUUAUACCGUAGCUUGCUACACCAUAGACUGUGAGUUGCGAACGGGUGAGUAACGCGUAGGUAACCUGCCUGGUAGCGGGGGAUAACUAUUGGAAACGAUAGCUAAUACCGCAUAAUAUUGAUUAUUGCAUGAUAAUUGAUUGAAAGAUGCUAUUGCAUCACUACCAGAUGGACCUGCGUUGUAUUAGCUAGUAGGUGAGGUAACGGCUCACCUAGGCGACGAUACAUAGCCGACCUGAGAGGGUGGUCGGCCACACUGGGACUGAGACACGGCCCAGACUCCUACGGGAGGCAGCAGUAGGGAAUCUUCGGCAAUGGGCGAAAGUCUGACCGAGCAACGCCGCGUGAGUGAAGAAGGUUUUCGGGUCGUAAAGCUCUGUUGUAAGGGAAGAACGGGUGUGAGAGUGGAAAGUUCACACUGUGACGGUAUCUUACCAGAAAGGGACGGCUAACUACGUG
rnacentral:rRNA from 1 species